rnacentral:rRNA from 1 species
AGAAGCAAUAAUGUUAAUAUGAGUAACAAGAAGACUCUUCUCCCUGCAUAAGUGUAUAUCAGAACGAAUGCGCACUGAUAAUUAACAAAUAUAAACAUAAUUAACUAAUCAACACUCCAAUACAAUUGUUAAUCCAACACAGGUAUGCAAUUAAGGACAAGAUUAAAAGAAGUAAAAGGAACUCGGC